UUGGUCUUUAGCAGGCUCCAAAUAUUUGAAAAACAGACAGACACAAUGUCCUCAUCUCCAGACAGAGGUCACCUUGAAGAAUCUGCAGAGGAGGUCCAUAGGAGCUGGCAGAGCUCAGUGGGAAAGUCGUGCCUGUAACCCUUCCCCUGCCGCUCCCAGCUCCUCAGCUGCUGGGGGCCGGCUCUGCCUCAGCCUCCUCAGAGAUCCACUGGGAAGGAUGGACACCGAGCCCAACUUUCCUGAAUGCUCUCCAGCUCUGUCCUACGUGUGCAGACGUGGCCAGUGGGUGCAGGGACGAACUGUGGCCUGCAGUUUCUUCCCCCACUCAGAGAGGCACUACAGAUUCUGCAAGGAACUUCCCCUGAUUCUUCUUAAUUACCAGUGGAGAAGAAAUUCAAGAUGCCUAGAGCAAAGGUCAAACUCCACCUGUUUUCCUUGCACUUCAUUUGCUGGCAGUUCCCACAAUAGUGUAGAUAAGUAAAAGAUUAAGGCAAUCUUUUCUAAUUAAAGUAAUUUUAAAACGGG